UCUACCAGCCUCCACAAAAAUUUUCAAAUGCCCUAUAACCCACAUCCAAGUCGGGGGUAUAGAAGAGCACAAAGGCUGAAAGAUAAUUUUACACCAAUAGGAGAGUCCUAUGCAAGCUUGUUUGAGAAAUUAAAGCAAUAUGACAUGAUUGCACAUAUUCCUUCAAAUCAUGUGGACCCCCAUGCAAGAAGCUUUGACCCUUCUAAAAGGUGUGAAUACCAUUCCAAUGCCUAGGGGUACAAUGUUGAAAGUUGUCGGGAUUUGAAAAGAGAAAUAGAAAGGAAGAUCCAAGAAAACCUGAUUGUGAUCCAAGACAGUGACACCCAGAAUAUCACGCAGAAUCCUUUACCUUCACAUCAUGAUGCACACUUUAUGGGGAUGAUGCCUGGUGACAUGGAGUAUGAGAAUCCUCUCGGGAACUUGCUAACUGAAGUUAAUGAUGUUGAAAUUAGAGAAGGCUCUGCUGAUUCUGGUGAGCAAAUUUGUGGCUAAAUGUCAAGCCUAGCAAUUGAAAAGUCAUUCCCUCCUCACUAGGAAGGAAUCUUGGUAGCUUGUUUUGAUGUUUUUUCUAUUAUCUGGGUUAUUUUAGGAUUGUGAUCCAGAUUUUAUUUGUUUUAUUGAGUCAAAUCCUUCUAUCCCUCCAUUUUAUUUGUGUGAGUCUUGUCUGUCUGUUCUGUUGCUAAUUUCAUUAUUCGGGUUAUUUUAGGGUUGUAACUCGUAUUUUGGGUUGCUUGUUUAGUUGUAAAACCCUUUCAUCAUUUACUCAAUAAAAUAUAGUUUGUCUUUUUGUAUCAUUCUGUUCCUAGUUCUUUUGUCGCUAGUUCUAAUGACAUGACAUGCAUGCGGAAAUUUUGGCCAGAUCUUAGGAACUGAUUUAAUCUGGAAUUGGAUAAUUAAAAAUAAAAAAUAAAAAAUACAUUUGAGGAUGAAUAAAGAGUUGGAAUACUUUGGAACUAAGGUCGAGUAAAAUUUACUUUCAAAUCAUUGUGAAGAUCAGGCUUGAGGAUGUUUAAUCAAUUGAAGUUUGUUGGAAAGCUUGUCACUAAGGGAUGAAAAAAAUGUCUUGUGACCACGGCACACCAAGAAGACAUACAUGUUCAUCAAUGUUGCGAUCGCGAAAAGAUACUAUGUUUGGCGUUCUCGAGGCUGGGAGGCCCUUUUUGUGCUACCCAAACACUUUAUAUCCUUCUCUACCCCCUUUGAGCUUGUAUUAUUUUCUUUGACCACGCUCUUUUGGAAUCAAGUUUAGAGUCAAGAGUCAAAAAAAAGAAAAAAAGAAAAAAAGAAAAAAAAAGUCCAUGUCCCAAGAGUACAAACUGGGGCAAUUUUCAAGUGAAAAAAAAAUGAAGAAGAAAAGAACUGGCAAAGAUCCAUGCCCCCAGAAAAUAGAAACUGGGGUAACCUGUUUUGAAAGGAAAAAAAAUAAAAGAAAAGAAAAGAAAAAAACAACAGAAAGAAAAAUGAAAAACAAUUAGUUAGGUCAGAUGUUUGAACUAUGUUCGACCUGAUUCCUUUAAAAAAAGGAUACGUAGGCAACCUCAUGGUUCAGUCCAACCAAAAAAAAAGAGAAAAAAAAAUUCCAAAAAAUCCCCAAUAGCUGAAACUGGGGCAAAGAUUUUAUUUCAUUUUUGAAAGAGUCGACUCCAAGAGUUGUAAGUUUACAACCCCAAUCAUUUUGAGUCAACUUUGAGCCUUCAUGCCGACCUUUUUGUCCAACCCUAUCCAAAAACCUUCCAAAUAAAGACCUCCCGAUACGCCUUCAAGAAUGCCAAGAGAAGCAUUCAAUGAGCAACGGCGGUCACGCGACAUAGAACACUGUCAAGAUGCUCGCACAAGAAAAGCGAAAGAAAAAGAAAAAGAAAAAGAAAAAUGAGAGAGUUUUAUUAGUGAAAACCAUCAUGGGCACUGUAAGACGACGGUAAGCAGAGAUGAAUAAAUGAGAGAGACUUAUUGGUGAAAAUCCCUCGGGGCACCACUAAUCGAAAGUGAGUCGUGAAGUUAAUGCAAAGAAUUGGCACAAGCAAGCCUGACUUUAAAGGUCAAGAAUGGUAAAAAGGAAGAUUAAAUCAGUUUGAUAGACCGUUGAGUCCAAAAUGCAUGUCAUGAUCAUUAAGGCUAGUUAGCGCAAAAUAAAAAAAAUGAAAAAAACUCUUCCCCUAUCCUUCCCGACCAGGGCAUUUCUUGUUAAUAUUUGUUUCUUUGUGUCAUUGUGUCCUUCACCCUGAGUCAGUCCUUCUCAAAACAAGCAAGAAAAGAUUUCAAAAUCUGCUACCAGCUUUUCAGUUGUACAAAGUAAAUUUGACCAGCAAACUCAGUUGUUAAUGUCAACAUGCCUUGAGGAUUCAUACAAAGGCUCCCCCAAAAGACUAUUGUCAGCCUGCUUGGCGCAAACAAAGACAACUCGUGAUUCUCUCUAACAGACAAAUUGCUCAAAGCAUGAAGUCAUUCAAGAUAUCAGAAAAGGUCAUCUAAGAAAAGAUCUCCAGUUGGGAUAAUGCUUAUUGAGCCAGAAAUACAAAUGAUACCGGGUGUUAAACAGUCAGAGUUGGUGCAGAACAAAAGUUUCUUGAGACCGACUCAAGAUAAUUGAGAAAAAGCCAAGCUGCUCAAGACUUAAGGCCACAACCCGACCACCAUUUUCAAAACUGACAAAUUUUCUUUGUAUGAAACAGGAACAAAGCAGUGCAAGGAAUAUGGUUCAAAAAAAAAGUAGGGAAAAGAAAAGAGAAAAAGAAAGAAAAAUAGAAAAAAAAAAGAAGAAAAAAAAUGAAAAUGAAAAGAAGAGAAGAGCCGCCAAAGGGAAGUUUCUCAAAUUUUUGCCUUUUUCUAUCUUGCUCAUGUGCAUAAAAUUUUGUCAUUUGAUCUUCACAUUUUUCCUCCUAGGAUAAAAAGUCCUAGUCUGAUGGAUUUUCCUCCCAAUAUAAACCUAGUCUGAUGAACUUUCUCCUAGGAUCGAAAUCUUAGUCGGAUGAAUUUUUCUCCUAAGAUGAAAAACCUAGUCUGAUGAACUUUCUCCUAGGAUCACAAUCUUAGUCUGAUAAAUUUUUCUCCUAAGAUAGAGGACCUAAUCUGAUGAAUUUUCUCCUAGGAUCAAAAUCUUAGUCGGAUGAAUCUUUCUCCUAAGAUAAUAAAUUAGAAAACCUAAUCUGAUGAACUUUCUCCUAGGAUAGAUGUCUUAGUCUGAUGAAUUUUUCUCCUAAGAUAGAAAACCUAGUCUGAUGAACUUUCUCCUAGGAUAGAUGUCUUGGUCUGAUGAAUUUUUCUCCUAAGAUAGAAAACCUAGUCUGAUGAAUUUUCUCCUAGGAUCAAAAUCUUAGUCUGCUGAAUCUUUCUCCUAUGAUAGAAAACCUAGUCUGAUGAAUUUUCUCCUAGGAUAAACGUCUUAGUCGAAUGAAUCUUUCUCCUAAGAUACCAAAAAAACAAAAACAAAAAAAGAGAGAGAAAAAGGACCUAGUCUGAUGAAUUUUCUCCUAAGAUUAACGUCUUAGUCUGAUGAAUCUUUCUCCUAAGAUAGAAAAUCUAGUCUGAC
rnacentral:lncRNA from 1 species